AGAACGAACGCUGGCGGCAUGCCUAACACAUGCAAGUCGAACGAGACCUUCGGGUCUAGUGGCGCACGGGUGCGUAACGCGUGGGAAUCUGCCCUUGGGUUCGGGAUAACAGUUGGAAACGACUGCUAAUACCGGAUGAUAUCUUCGGAUCAAAGAUUUAUCGCCCAGGGAUGAGCCCGCGUAGGAUUAGCUUGUUGGUGAGGUAAAAGCUCACCAAGGCGACGAUCCUUAGCUGGUCUGAGAGGAUGAUCAGCCACACUGGGACUGAGACACGGCCCAGACUCCUACGGGAGCAGCAGUGGGAAUAUUGGACAAGUGGGCGAAAGCCUGAUCCAGCAAUGCCGCGUGAGUGAUGAAGGUCCUUA
rnacentral:rRNA from 1 species